CUGGGACCAAACCUACAAUUCCAAGAUCAAGAGUUGGAAGCUCUGCUGUUUGAGCCAGCCAGGCACUCCAACCUAAAGACUCUUUGGCUUAGAUAGAACCUUGUGAUCUUCAGGCUGAAACUCUACUUCUGGCAAACAUCACUGCCCCUCAAAUUUCUCCGGGGCUGCUCAAGGAUCCUUGACCCUUUAAAGAAAUAGCAUUUCCCUCUAUUUCUCUACCUCUGUACCCUCGACUUGCCCUGAGUUAUUUCUUACCUGAACUCUCUGGAAAACAUUUAGUGUUUAACAGCUCUAUAUCUGCACAAAAUGGGGGUUUCCAUCCCAGCAUCAAUUUCAGGACUAUUGACUGAGGACAAAAGAGAUAAGGGACAUCCCCCUUCCUCCUCAUCCUAUUAUUGGCCCACCUGCCCUCCAGGUGUGGGUGCUUUCCUUGCUCCAGAUUGCUGCCUCCAAACUAUACCUCCUCCAGUCCCCAGAUGCUGUCAGCUGAUCAUUCUCAGACUCGUAUCUGGUCUCCGGUCUUGUGUAUCUGACUGCCUACAUGGAAACCCUACUUGGAUAUCUGAAAGGUACCACAAACUUAGCAUAGUUGGAACUUAAUCAUGAUCUUGCCCAUAGACAGUAUCAUCAUCAUAUCCAGACCACAAGGACUUGCUCUGGCCCGCAUACUUUGGGGGCCUUUGUUUAUCACACACGGCAUUUAUUAAAUGACACCCAGGCACUUGGGAUCUGGCCCUCAGUGCUGGCAUAGCACAACCUGAAACCCUGAACAUCUGCUCUCAUAAUUAACCCCAUUUGGACCCCAGGGAAAUGUUUCUGCAAUCUCUUGGCCUGUAUCCUGGAAACAAAAGAUGACUACAACUGAAUCCUGUGAAAGUUUAGACUAUGCCUCUGCCAGAUUCCGAGGUGCAUGCUGGUUUGGAUUGUAGGCAGGAUUUAAGUGGCGGAAGCACUUAGGUAAGAGAAAAUGCAACUAAAUUAAUUUGUCAAAUAUU